UGGGGAAUAUUGCACAAUGGGCGCAAGCCUGAUGCAGCGACGCCGCGUGGGGGAUGACGGCCUUCGGGUUGUAAACUCCUUUCGCCAGGGACGAAGCGUUUUGUGACGGUACCUGGAGAAGAAGCACCGGCUAACUACGUGCCAGCAGCCGCGGUAAUACGUAGGGUGCAAGCGUUGUCCGGAAUUACUGGGCGUAAAGAGCUCGUAGGUGGUUUGUCACGUCGUCUGUGAAAUUCCACAGCUUAACUGUGGGCGUGCAGGCGAUACGGGCUGACUUGAGUACUGUAGGGGUAACUGGAAUUCCUGGUGUAGCGGUGAAAUGCGCAGAUAUCAGGAGGAACACCGAUGGCGAAGGCAGGUUACUGGGCAGUUACUGACGCUGAGGAGCGAAAGCAUGGGUAGCAAACAGGAUUAGAUACCCUGGUAGUCCAUGCCGUAAACGGUGGGCGCUAGGUGUAGGGGCCUUUUGGGGUUUCUGUGCCGUAGCUAACGCAUUAAGCGCCCCGUCUGGGGAGUACGGCCGCAAGGCUA
rnacentral:rRNA from 1 species